rnacentral:tRNA from 1 species
GGUGGCUCAGUGGUAGAGUGCUUGUCUUGCAUGCAUUAGGCCCUGGGUUCGAUUCCUCAGCACCA